CGGGGUUGUGGACAGCAAAAACCAUUGCGAGCCUUUAACCGAACGGCAUGGGACGGCCGAUCAAAGAGGGUGACAAUCCCGUAGGUAAAAAGGGCGAGCAGGGGGCUGUAUCCAGAGUACCACCGGACACGAGAAACCCGGUGGGAAACCGGGGGGACCACCCUCCAAGCCUAAAAACUCCCUGGUGACCGAUAGCGUAUAGUACU
rnacentral:rRNA from 1 species